rnacentral:rRNA from 1 species
UACGUAGGGUGCAAGCGUUGUCCGGAAUUAUUGGGCGUAAAGAGCUCGUAGGCGGUUUGUCGCGUCGAAUGUGAAAACCCGGGGCUCAACCCCGGGCCUGCAUUCGAUACGGGCAGACUAGAGUUCGGUAGGGGAGUCUGGAAUUCCUGGUGUAGCGGUGAAAUGCGCAGAUAUCAGGAGGAACACCGGUGGCGAAGGCGGCCAGCUGGGCAGUGACUGACACUGAGGCGCGACAGCGUGGGGAGCAAACAGG